rnacentral:lncRNA from 1 species
AUGUUGGGGUUGGGGGAUGCAGGGCAGAAGCUCAGGAUGGUGGGAGGUGUUUUUACAGCCACCCCCAGUUUGGUGGCACUUCUGUCCCCACCAUGCCAUGGCUCUGCCUGCCCUUCCCACGGCCCCGGUGCACCCGUGGGUGCUCCCAGCCCCUUCCGAGCCCCGGCCCUGCCCUCGGUGCCCGGACAGGGGGUCCUGGGGCUGAUGGCAUUGCCCACAGGUGGCCGGGGAGCAGAAGUACCACCCCGAGUGCUUCAGCUGCCUCAACUGCCACGCCUUCAUCGGGGACGGGGACACCUACGCGCUGGUGGAGCGCUCCAAGCUCUACUGCGGCCACUGCUACUACCAGAUGGUGGUGACCCCGGUGAUCGAGCAGAUCCUGCCCGACUCGCCGGCCUCCCGCAUCCCUCACACCGUCACCCUCGUGUCCAUCCCCGCCUGCUCCGACGGCAAGCGCGGCUUCUCCGUCUCCAUCGACCAGGGCUGCGGCAGCGAGCAUCCCCGCACCGUGCGCGUCCGAGAGGUGGACCCGGACUGCAUCAGCCCUGACAUGAAGAACUCCAUCCACGUUGGUGACCGCAUCCUGGAGAUCAACGGGACCCCCAUCGGCCACGUCCCCCU